AUCCAGCUGAUGAGUCCUAAAUAGGAGGAUACGUCCGUCAUAGAU
rfam:Schistosoma margrebowiei strain Zambia genome assembly, scaffold: SMRZ_scaffold0001491